CCCCGCCUGGGGAGUACGGGUGAGGUAGCGGCUCACCAAGGCAUCGACGGGUAGCUGGUCUGAGAGGAUGAUCAGCCACACUGGGACUGAGACACGGCCCAGACUCCUACGGGAGGCAGCAGUAGGGAAUAUUGCACAAUGGGCGAAAGCCUGAUGCAGCAACGCCGCGUGCGGGAAGAAGGCCCUAGGGUUGUAAACCGCUUUCAGCAGGGAAGAAAAUGACGGUACCCGCAGAAGAGGGUGCGGCCAACUACGUGCCAGCAGCCGCGGUGACACGUAGGCACCAAGCGUUGUCCGGAUUUAUUGGGCGUAAAGAGCUCGUAGGCGGUUCAGUUAGUCGGGUGUGAAAACUCUGGGCUCAACCCAGAGACGCCACUCGAUACUGCUGUGACUAGAGUGCGGUAGGGGAGCGGGGAAUUCCUAGUGUAGCGGUGAAAUGCGCAGAUAUUAGGAGGAACACCAAUGGCGAAGGCACAUCUCUGGGCCGUAACUGACGCUGAGGAGCGAAAGCGUGGGGAGCGAACAGGAUUAGAUACCCUGGUAGUCCACGCCGUAAACGUUGGGAACUAGAUGUGGGGUCCGUUCCACGGAUUCCGUGUCGCAGCUAACGCAUUAAGUUCCCCGCCUGGGGAGUACGG
rnacentral:rRNA from 1 species